rnacentral:rRNA from 1 species
GAUGAACGCUAGCUACAGGCUUUAACACAUGCAAGCCGAACGGUAACAGAAAGAAGCUUGCUUCUUUGCUGACGAGUGGCGGACGGGUGAGUAGUGUCUGGGAAACUGCCUGAUGGAGGGGGAUAACUACUGGAAACGGUAGCUAAUACCGCAUAACGUCGCAAGACCAAAGAGGGGGGACCUUCGGGCCUCUUGCCAUCGGAUGUGCCCAGAUGGGAUUAGCUUGUUGGUGGGGUAACGGCUCACCAAAGGCGACGAUCCCUAGCUGGUCUGAGAGGAUGACCAGCCACACUGGAACUGAGACACGGUCCAGACUCCUACGGGAGGCAGCAGUGGGGAAUAUUGCACAAUGGGCGCAAAGCCUGAUGCAGCCAUGCCGCGUGUAUGAAGAAGGCC